rnacentral:rRNA from 1 species
UUAAGCGACUAAGCGUACACGGUGGAUGCCCUGGCAGUCAGAGGCGAUGAAGGACGUGCUAAUCUGCGAUAAGCGUCGGUAAGGUGAUAUGAACCGUUAUAACCGGCGAUUUCCGAAUGGGGAAACCCAGUGUGUUUCGACACACUAUCAUUAACUGAAUCCAUAGGUUAAUGAGGCGAACCGGGGGAACUGAAACAUCUAAGUACCCCGAGGAAAAGAAAUCAACCGAGAUUCCCCCAGUAGCGGCGAGCGAACGGGGAGCAGCCCAGAGCCUGAAUCAGUGUGUGUGUUAGUGGAAGCGUCUGGAAAGGCGCGCGAUACAGGGUGACAGCCCCGUACACAAAAAUGCACAUACUGUGAGCUCGAUGAGUAGGGCGGGACACGUGGUAUCCUGUCUGAAUAUGGGGGGACCAUCCUCCAAGGCUAAAUACUCCUGACUGACCGAUAGUGAACCAGUACCGUGAGGGAAAGGCGAAAAGAACCCCGGCGAGGGGAGUGAAAAAGAACCUGAAACCGUGUACGUACAAGCAGUGGGAGCACGCUUAGGCGUGUGACUGCGUACCUUUUGUAUAAUGGGUCAGCGACUUAUAUUCUGUAGCAAGGUUAACCGAAUAGGGGAGCCGAAGGGAAACCGAGUCUUAACUGGGCGUUAAGUUGCAGGGUAUAGACCCGAAACCCGGUGAUCUAGCCAUGGGCAGGUUGAAGGUUGGGUAACACUAACUGGAGGACCGAACCGACUAAUGUUGAAAAAUUAGCGGAUGACUUGUGGCUGGGGGUGAAAGGCCAAUCAAACCGGGAGAUAGCUGGUUCUCCCCGAAAGCUAUUUAGGUAGCGCCUCGUGAACUCAUCUCCGGGGGUAGAGCACUGUUUCGGCAAGGGGGUCAUCCCGACUUACCAACCCGAUGCAAACUGCGAAUACCGGAGAAUGUUAUCACGGGAGACACACGGCGGGUGCUAACGUCCGUCGUGAAGAGGGAAACAACCCAGACCGCCAGCUAAGGUCCCAAAGUCAUGGUUAAGUGGGAAACGAUGUGGGAAGGCCCAGACAGCCAGGAUGUUGGCUUAGAAGCAGCCAUCAUUUAAAGAAAGCGUAAUAGCUCACUGGUCGAGUCGGCCUGCGCGGAAGAUGUAACGGGGCUAAACCAUGCACCGAAGCUGCGGCAGCGACGCUUAUGCGUUGUUGGGUAGGGGAGCGUUCUGUAAGCCUGUGAAGGUGUGCUGUGAGGCAUGCUGGAGGUAUCAGAAGUGCGAAUGCUGACAUAAGUAACGAUAAAGCGGGUGAAAAGCCCGCUCGCCGGAAGACCAAGGGUUCCUGUCCAACGUUAAUCGGGGCAGGGUGAGUCGACCCCUAAGGCGAGGCCGAAAGGCGUAGUCGAUGGGAAACAGGUUAAUAUUCCUGUACUUGGUGUUACUGCGAAGGGGGGACGGAGAAGGCUAUGUUGGCCGGGCGACGGUUGUCCCGGUUUAAGCGUGUAGGCUGGUUUUCCAGGCAAAUCCGGAAAAUCAAGGCUGAGGCGUGAUGACGAGGCACUACGGUGCUGAAGCAACAAAUGCCCUGCUUCCAGGAAAAGCCUCUAAGCAUCAGGUAACAUCAAAUCGUACCCCAAACCGACACAGGUGGUCAGGUAGAGAAUACCAAGGCGCUUGAGAGAACUCGGGUGAAGGAACUAGGCAAAAUGGUGCCGUAACUUCGGGAGAAGGCACGCUGAUAUGUAGGUGAAGUCCCUUGCGGAUGGAGCUGAAAUCAGUCGAAGAUACCAGCUGGCUGCAACUGUUUAUUAAAAACACAGCACUGUGCAAACACGAAAGUGGACGUAUACGGUGUGACGCCUGCCCGGUGCCGGAAGGUUAAUUGAUGGGGUCAGCGCAAGCGAAGCUCUUGAUCGAAGCCCCGGUAAACGGCGGCCGUAACUAUAACGGUCCUAAGGUAGCGAAAUUCCUUGUCGGGUAAGUUCCGACCUGCACGAAUGGCGUAAUGAUGGCCAGGCUGUCUCCACCCGAGACUCAGUGAAAUUGAACUCGCUGUGAAGAUGCAGUGUACCCGCGGCAAGACGGAAAGACCCCGUGAACCUUUACUAUAGCUUGACACUGAACAUUGAGCCUUGAUGUGUAGGAUAGGUGGGAGGCUUGGAAGUGUGGACGCCAGUCUGCAUGGAGCCGACCUUGAAAUACCACCCUUUAAUGUUUGAUGUUCUAACGUUGACCCGUAAUCCGGGUUGCGGACAGUGUCUGGUGGGUAGUUUGACUGGGGCGGUCUCCUCCUAAAGAGUAACGGAGGAGCACGAAGGUUGGCUAAUCCUGGUCGGACAUCAGGAGGUUAGUGCAAUGGCAUAAGCCAGCUUGACUGCGAGCGUGACGGCGCGAGCAGGUGCGAAAGCAGGUCAUAGUGAUCCGGUGGUUCUGAAUGGAAGGGCCAUCGCUCAACGGAUAAAAGGUACUCCGGGGAUAACAGGCUGAUACCGCCCAAGAGUUCAUAUCGACGGCGGUGUUUGGCACCUCGAUGUCGGCUCAUCACAUCCUGGGGCUGAAGUAGGUCCCAAGGGUAUGGCUGUUCGCCAUUUAAAGUGGUACGCGAGCUGGGUUUAGAACGUCGUGAGACAGUUCGGUCCCUAUCUGCCGUGGGCGCUGGAGAACUGAGGGGGGCUGCUCCUAGUACGAGAGGACCGGAGUGGACGCAUCACUGGUGUUCGGGUUGUCAUGCCAAUGGCACUGCCCGGUAGCUAAAUGCGGAAGAGAUAAGUGCUGAAAGCAUCUAAGCACGAAACUUGCCCCGAGAUGAGUUCUCCCUGACCCUUUAAGGGUCCUGAAGGAACGUUGAAGACGACGACGUUGAUAGGCCGGGUGUGUAAGCGCAGCGAUGCGUUGAGCUAACCGGUACUAAUGAACCGUGAGGCUUAACCUU